UUUAAUUGAAGAGUUUGAUCAUGGCUCAGAUUGAACGCUGGCGGCAGGCCUAACACAUGCAAGUCGAGCGGAAACGAAGAGG
rnacentral:rRNA from 1 species